GCAUCAAUAUGGGGACCUCCCGGGAGCAGGGCCCACCAGGAUGCCUACGGAGGGGGAACCGGCCCAGGGGAGAGAGGGGGGAGGGGACAGGG